CAGCAAUUCCUGAAUUACAGGGGAAAAACACCUAGAGCAGCCUUUUACAGCUGCACUGAAGGUUGACCACAAACCAGGGUCGAUUGAAUCACUGAUCAGAGUUCCCUCUGCUUCCCACAGGAGGUGUCAAACGUCCUGGGCCCAGAUGAGCACGUGCAGAGCAGCCAGAGGGUGCAUCUGGUUCUGUUCAGUCCCCAGGGAGUGCUGGGUUUCAUUGUCUCCAGCACAGAAAUUCUGGAUGCGUUUCUCACGGGAGAUUUUUCCUCAGAUCAGCUGCUGCAGAAAGGGCACAGAGUGCAGAGGAGUUCCCCCAAAGACAGCCAGGCCUUGCCCCUCAUCCCUAACCCAGUGGUGUGUCUGGAAGCAGGGGAUACGAUCCUUUUCCAGCUCAGCAUCAAUUCCCAGGACCGUGCCUCCAGCCACUACCCCGUUUACCAGAAGCAACAUCUCUACAACAACAACCCAGGCUGGGAUUUCGGACCCUUCCGGAGGCUGGACCACCUGAUCCGGGAGACUCAGCUCAACAUCUCCUGGUAACACCUGCUGUGGGUAACAGCGUCGUGGGCAGGACCUGAGAGCGAGUUUUUCACAGAAUCAGCAGGUCUUUGGUAGUGAAAAUACCAAAUUUUGCUGUGUUCAGGUCCCUGUGUUUAACCAUCCUCACAGAGGGAGGCUGGAGGAAGCUUGGGUCAGCUGGUACCUUCCUCACUUCUCUCUUCCAGGUUUGCCCAUGUUUUCCUGGAGCCUGGGACAUUUGUCUUCAGGGACAGCUCCGUUCAGGAACGCUUCCUGAUUGUGACAGUGAACAAAGCCAAUGUGAGCUGUGACCCUGGGGACGUGUCCUUCCAGCCCUCCUCCCUGUUCCAGCUGGCCAGACACGGCAUUUUGAAGCAGCAGCAUCUGCACUUGGCUCCCAACUGGGCUGCAAUCACAGCAAUCCUCUUUGUCCUGGGCUUCCUCGUGCUGGUGCUGACCACCCUGGCCAUCGUGUUCCAGUCUGCUGGCCCCAAAAUUAGCCCCCUAAAGAGCUGGAAGCCACGAUGGAGGAGCCUGGGGGAGCCCCACGUCCCACCAGAGUACAUCCUCCUUAAGGACAGCCUCAAGUUCUAUCAGAUGCUUGGUCCUCGUGGAUCUGGAGCAGAUGCUGGCUCUGGAGAGAGAGGAGCAGUGCCCAGUGCAGAGCACAGCUUCAGCCCCAGGCUCCUGGAGGAUUUCAGUGUCCGCACCCUCUACGACAAGCUGGAGGAUCAGAAUUUGCACCUGGCCUCUCAGCUGGCAAAGCACAGGAUGGACGUGCUGGUGUUCCACAACAGGAUCAGCCACAGCAUCCAGAGCCUGGUGGUCAGUGGGGAGAGGCAUUUGAGGGAAGGGAGCCUUGGAACCAUCACAAUUUUUAAUUUAAAUGGCUGCCCUGAAGUGAAAGUUUAUCGAAGGAUGGGUGUUGCUCCUUUCAGUAGUUUAUUUUGGCAUAAAAUAAAUUUUUAUAUGGUUUUAUAUGAGGGGCUGAAUGUCAGUUGUGGGGUUGGCAAAAUAUAA
rnacentral:lncRNA from 1 species